GACUCCAGUGUCAGACACAGCCCUCAGGUGGCCUGGCAAGGGCACCAGGACAGGAAUACUGGCCCAUGGCAGGGCAGAGCAGGGCUGUGGAAUCAAGGUCCUAUGGUGUCACCAGGACAGGGAAUUCUGUUCCUGAAGGUCUCCACUGAGUGUGGGAUUAGAGCACAGCUGUGAUGUGCUUCUGAACUCAAACUGUUGAACACCUGAACAUAGAAUUGUUCUUCACACCCAGCCCUCACUCUUGCAUGAAACACAGUAUGACAUCUGACAACAGCAACAAGAGUAUGACUGUGAGAUGACAGCUGAGGUCAUGCAUCCAAACCAAAAAGUGACUGCUGGCCACCUGUAAAAGAAAUAUCACAGACAACUCAGAAAAAAAUCUGCACACUUUAUAUCAGAAAUCUUAUUUAUAUUUUUUAUUUUCAUAGUAUCUUUGGAUCAAAAUCCAGUAUAAUUUCUACUGGACUGCUUUCACAGCACUAAACAGUGUUGAUUGGAUCUUUUCAUUUGAAAAAUCAAAAGAACAGUAGUCCAGUUUAUGUCUGGUUCCUGCAAGAUUAUUUCAUCACAGCAAAAAUUAUGUAAACAAAAACAUUUUUAAAGACAGUUUUUAAUUUAGAUGUUGCUAUCAGGCACAAGAGCUACAGCCAAUUUUGAAGACUCUGGUGACUCUGGUGAUGCAAGUCAUCCCCUUGAAGCGCGUGGAGGACCAUGCUGCACACUAUACUCAUGCUGCAGCCCAUGGAAGGUGCCACUCUGGAGCAGAGGCACGGGUCCUGAAGCAAGAUGCAGCCCAUGAGAAUUUCAUAUUGGAACAGGCUCCUGGUAGGAACUGCUGUCUGUGGAGAGAAGCCCAUGCCUGAGCAGGUUUUCUGGCAAGACGCGACCCCAUGGAGCACCCACAUGGGAACAGUCUGUUUCUGAAGGACUGUGCCCAGUGGAAAUGAUCCAUGCUGGACCAGUUCAUGGAGGACUGUGUCUCAUGGGAAGGACCCCCUCAUGGGGCAGAGAAGGAGUGUGAGGAGGAAGGAGGAGAGAUGAAGUGCUAUGAAUGGAACUAAACCUCCAUUCUCUUUGCACUGCUUGAAGAGGAGCAGAUAGAAGAUUCAGGAGUGAAAUUAAGCCUGGGAGGAAGAAGGCUGGGGGGAGAUGUUUAUAGUGUUUUUUAUUUCUCAUUAUCCAAGUCUAUUAUUAAUUGCCAAUCAAAAGAUUUCAUUUCCAUGAACUCAGUUUCACUUAUGCUGGUAAUUGUUGAGCAACUCUCCUGUCUUUAUCUCAACCAAUAAACUUUUCAUCAUAUUUCUUGCCCUCAUGCAGCUGAGCACAGUGGUUCAGAGAGAAUUUAAAAUUAUUCUUCUGACCUAAUAAUUUUGAGAUUUGUCUUUGAGAAAGAUUAGGUAAAUAUUCUGCAAUCCAAAUAUCCUUCACUGUUUAUAAUUCAUUUUGUCUUCAUUAGGACACACAGCAUGAAGGAGAAACAGUAAACAUGAAGGUGUCCUAGAGACCGGACUGCCUUGGGUGCCAUUACAAUCCCAUUACCUCGUGCUGAGUGAACACUCAGAACAGAUGACUGAGUUAUAAUAAUGUGUCCAGCUUAGUCACAGUUCAUCCAAAGACAAGUUUGACUGUAACUUGGAAACCUAGAAGUCAGAUUUAAAUCACAGAUAACCUUUGGAAAAGAUGGCCUUCCUAAUUCACAAGAGUGAAAAACCUUCCUUCCAAAGCAGAAGUAAAAUUUGAAAUGAAAGAAGGGGAUAUAAAACCAAGUGUUUAAUAUGCAGGCAGCACAGACGGUGCAGAAGGCUGCCGUGAGCCAAGAUGAAUUAGCCUCUCCUAGCUUAUAAAAAAAAAACUAAAAAGAAAUGGCACCUUUCAAACAAAUCCUUCUGUGUAACAGAACCGGCCUUUGCAAUGAAAAUGGUGCCAAAAGCUUUCUCUUGGAGAAGCCUAGAGUUCAUCAGGCCUUAAACAACAAUUAUUUUUGGAUUAUCUUAUUCACUCUGUUCCUGGGUAUUAGCAGAACCACUGACAACAAGAGCGAAGUGCUGAGAGUCGUGGGUGCUGCCACCAUUUGGAGUCAUUGGUACAAUCAGCACCUCACAACUAUGACUGGAGCGAGCUUCUGAAGACUUACUGAGAACUUUUGAUGGAAGUAAAACCUCUGAAAAACUUUAUUGCUGCUGACAGCUGAUAGGAAAGGACUAAAGAAGACUUUUGAGGACAACUGAGCUGGAGAAGCAGACUCUUCUCUAACAGCAAGCAUACAGAACGGAAAUAUCUAGUGAAGGAGUGCAGAGUCUGGAGAGUCUGAGAUGUCUGUACCAGCCAGCUGGUGGAGGAUGGAAAAUAAAAUACACUGAGCCUGAACUUGACAGGAUGCUACACUUCAAGGGUAGGCUUCUUCAGAGUAUAUCCUGCAGUAAAAAUCUGUGAUCCAAGAGAAGACAGAAAACAGUAGACUCAACUUUGUUUAUUACUAGAGCAAGAAAUGCUUUCUUGGGAAGCCAUCUCACAGAUCUACUGAUCUCUGGAGUCUGUAUCACUGAAGAGUUCAAAUGAUCACAUUUGUAAGAUAUUUAUUUCCUACCCAGCUCCUUCAGAAACAGAGCUGCUGUUGGACACAUGCCCAUCACAGGCUCCAGUGACAUCUGCAUCAAUUAGUAGUGCUUUUACAAGCAUUAACUCCAGCAUGAACUUUGAAAUUUUAGAAAUCUGUUGUGCCUAUAGAGUAAAAAAAAGACCGACUUUCUCCAACAUAUUGUCUGCUCAUCUUGGUCCUUAAAAUCCCAUUGCCUCUUUUCUCACUCAGGAAAGAGAGUGUCUGGGAAAUGAGAGGAAUAUCAUUAAGAAAAAAGAUAACUUUUGGUCUUUAAUUUCUCUUUUCUUCAUCCUUGAACUGAUUAACAAUGAAGAAUGGGGUUUGCAAGAUUUUUUCCAGUUUCUAUGGCUCAAAGAAAUCCUCCCAGGAGUGUCUCUCAGUCAUUAAUGCCUGAAAUUCCCCCUUGUAUAAAAUUGCAUAAAAUUAAUAUAGGCUGUAGUUCUUUCCAAAAUGUGUUCAUCCAAUAUUUAAGCUUUCAAAGUGAUUAUAAGGUUGGAUAAGGUUCUUCUUCAGCUUCUGGCUCUGAAAACUAGUAAUGCUGCUGUAUAAUUUGGAAAAGAAAAUCAGAUGUUCCGAUAUAUAAACCCCAGGCACAUGUCUGUCUUUGAAUAAUAUAUCAAGGAUCUCAGAAUAAAAUCUCUUAAUAAUUUAACCAUCAACCCAGAGUCUUUCAUUGUUGAUAUCUACAAAAAAAGAGAUAAGGUCAAGAUGAAUGUUCAGAUACAGCAUUGUACCCACUGAUGUUAAAACCACAUCUAGGAUAUAAACAAUAUUUAGUGAGACCUCUAUCUGAGAUCUUUACUGAUGCCAGUUUAACACAGUGGAAUAUGGUUAUUGGGAAUUAAAAACAGCAUAGGUCACUGAGCAAACCACUGAUCUGGAAACAGGAAAAUCUGGGCUGUAUUCCCAGGCCUGUCACCAGCCUAUUGCUCAGCCAUCACCAAUUAAUAUUUUCCUUCUUGCCCCUUACACAAUUUCUCUGUUUAGCUGGUAGGAUAGAAUCAAAGACGACUUCUGUACUUAUGGGCAAAGAUUGCUCCCUCAGCCAAUGCUACUCAGACUAAUGUAAAAUGAACAUGAGGUCCUGGAGAAAGGGGACAGGCAAUGGCAUUGAUCAGUGGAAUUCAGGAUCCUUCUUCAUCUCCAUCUCCUGCGCUGGGCCUACUGCUGACAGCAUGGUUGUUCAGCUUCAGGAGAGGAGUUAGAAAAGUUUAUCUCCUAACUCCUAUCCUAACCUGCUACCAGAUUCACUCCAUGCACAGCUGCCUCACUGCAAGGCUAUUACACAGCUCUGUGUAGUAGCAAUUUACCAGCCACUUAGAAAACAUGACUUCAGCUACCUCAUACCAAACCUAUGACUUAUUUUCCUGAGCCAAGGAACAUUUUCAGGCUCUGAAAUUCAAUUACAGUAGCAACAUGAACAUAAUUUUAUAUUUUGCCUAAAGGAAAUGUCUUAACCUAGAAAUCUAAUUUCAUGUAUUUUCUUUUGGGUAUUUCCUAUUGGGGUCAUAUAUAGUUAAAUAAUCCAAUAUGCUUGUUUUGGUGGUUCCCUUCCACUGUCCUUGAUAACUGUAAGCCUUAUGAAGAGACAGGUAGUAAAUAAAUCAGAUGUAUGGAACAAUCUCACCAACAGUUUUAACGGCACCUUUAAGACAGCAGUGAACUGGAUUACGAUGUAAGAACAAGAAGCAACAUGAAGUCAUACAUGUGGGCACAGUUUUUGAAAACACCAACUCCAAGAAGCCAGAAAAGGCAAGGGAAUCAGAUGACCCACAUAUAUUCACAGAAGAGGAGAAUUUGUUUCUGUGCAGGCUUUCAUUGUUCUGCUUUAUUGACUGUUGCCAUUUUUUUUUUUAUGUUUCUGUAUUUUUAGAUUUAUAUUUACAUUUACAUUUAAAUGUGUAUUCUUAUCUGUCUAAAUUUUCCUUUUUUAAAAAACUCAGGAGCUUAUUCAACACUAAAGCAAAAUGUUUAAUUUCAGAUUCAAGUUUUUUUAAAUGAAAGUGGGUCUGAAGCAGAACAUUUCAUCUUGAAUCAAAGUGAUUUUGCAUUCUCAGAAUGGCUUUUGCUGCUUUUUACAUCUGAAGCUGCUAAAACAGACAACUGAGAAAAAUAUUCUACAUUGACAAAGCUUCAUCUUUUCUUCAUGAAAAAUGCAUUCAAUUAAAAGAUACUGUCUAGUUUUAUUAGGAUUUCACACAUCUAUCAAGGUCUGUCCACAGAUAUCUAAGAAAAAUUGAUUCCCACUGCUCAACUGUACAUCUGGAAUUUGUGUUUACUGUGGACACAGCAAAAAACACUCAAGAAUUUCUCUUCAAAGGGCACAGAGGCCCUUCUGUAUCCUCAGACAUAUUAAAUUGUUUCUCAGAUGGUGCAUAACUACAUUUCAACCAUGUUCAAAAUAAGUUUUCUUCAUUUAACAAGGGGUCUAUCUUGUCACAUUUGACAGGAUCUCAACUUUGUGUUUCAAGAACAAAGCAAAAGAAUCAACUGCUCCCUAUUCCAACACAGAAACCACUGACUGUUUAGGUCUCCCUGCUGUUUCCUACUAUUCUCCAGGUGACUUCAACUAAGCUCAGCAAGCCCUGAGAGAAGCAUUGCAAAGCCUGGUAGUAAAUUACAGAUAUUUUCCAGGAGUGAGUGAUUCCAAAAUAUGCAAAGAGUUAGAGGAAUCUUUUCAAUGGAUGUCAGUAGCAUCACCUAUUUUUCUCAUAUCAGUGAGCAGUUUGUUUGCUUUGUAAUGGCCUGGUUUUCUAGCUUUCCUGUGUUCAUUAAAAUCAGUGAUUAUAGGUAGGUUCUGGGAAUGGAAUAAUUGAUCGGUAUGUGAAAAAGAGACUGUAAUCCCAAAGUCCAUCAAAUAAUAAUUCCAUUUAAAAAAACUU